rnacentral:rRNA from 1 species
CCCUUAGACGUUCUGGGCCGCACGCGCGCUACACUGACGAAGGCAACGAGCUUUCCUUUACCGAAAGGUACGGGUAAUCUUUUGAAACUUCGUCGUGCUGGGGAUAGAUCCUUGCAAUUUUUGAUCUUAAACGAGGAAUUCCUAGUAAGCGCAAGUCAUCAACUUGCGUUGAUUACGUCCCUGCCCUUUGUACACACCGCCCGUCGCUACUACCGAUUGAAUGGUUUAGUGAGGCCUUCGGAUCCGCGACUCGUUUUGUGGAGAAGUUGGACAAACUUAGUCAUUUAGAGGAAGUAAAAGUCGUAACA